CCUACGGGUGGCAGCAGUCGGGAAUAUUGCUCAAUGGGGGAAACCCUGAAGCAGCAACGCCGCGUGGAGGAUGAAGGUUCUCGGAAUUUUAACUCCUUUUCUUAGAGAAGAUAAUGACGGUAUCUGACGAAUAAGCACCGGCUAACUCCGGGCCAGCAGCCGCGGCAACACGGAGGCAGCAAGCGUUAUUCGGAAUCACUGGGCGUAAAGAGCGCGUAGGCGGGAUAGCAAGUCAGGUGUGAAAACCUAUGGCUUAACCAUAGAACUGCAUUUGAAACUGGUACUCUAGAGUAUGGGAGAGGUAGGUGGAAUUCUUGGUGUAGGGGUAAAAUCCGUAGAGAGCAAGAGGAAUACUCAUUGCGAAGGCGACCUGCUAGAACAUAACUGACGCUGAGGCGCGAAAGCGUGGGGAGCGAACAGGAUUAGAUACCCCAGUAGUC
rnacentral:rRNA from 1 species